GUGAGGAAUUUUCCGCAAUGGGCGAAAGCCUGACGGAGCAAUGCCGCGUGAAGGAUGAAGGCCUAUGGGUUGUAAACUUCUUUUCUCAGAAAAGAAUUAUGACGGUAUCUGAGGAAUAAGCAUCGGCUAACUCUGUGCCAGCAGCCGCGGUAAGACAGAGGAUGCAAGCGUUAUCCGGAAUGAUUGGGCGUAAAGCGUCUGUAGGUUGUUUAAAAAGUAUUCUGUCAAAGAUUAGGGCUUAACCCUAGAUAGGCAGAAUAAACUUUUAAGCUAGAGUUUGGUAGAGGCAGAGGUAAUUCCCGGUGGAGCGGUGAAAUGCGUAGAUAUCGGGAGGAACACCAAAGGCGAAGGCACUCUGCUGGGCCAAUACUAACACUGAGAGACGAAAGCGAGGGGAGCAAAUGGGAUUAGAAACCCCUGUAGUCC
rnacentral:rRNA from 1 species